GUCUUUGUAGUACAAUUAAUACGCUGGUCUUGUAAACCAGAAAAGGAGAAUAACCAAUCUCCCUAAGACU
rnacentral:tRNA from 1 species